rnacentral:rRNA from 1 species
UACGUAGGUUGCGAGCGUUGUCCGGAAUUAUUGGGCUUAAAGGGCUCGUAGGCGGUCUGUCGCGUCGGGAGUGAAAACUCAGGGCCUAACCCUGAGCCUGCUUCCGAUACGGGCAGACUAGAGGUAUGCAGGGGAGAACGGAAUUCCUGGUGUAGCGGUGAAAUGCGCAGAUAUCAGGAGGAACACCGGUGGCGAAGGCGGUUCUCUGGGACGGUACUGACGCUGAGACGCGAAAGCGUGGGGAGCGAACAGG